GCUGGGCGUGGUGGCGGGCGCCUGUAGUCCCAGCUACCCGGGAGGCUGAGGCAGAAGAAUCACUUGAACCCGGGAGGCAGAGGUUGCAGUGAGCCGAGAUCGCACCACUGCACUCCAGCCUGGGCGACAGAGUGAGACUCUGUCUCAC
rnacentral:sRNA from 1 species